rnacentral:rRNA from 1 species
AUUGAACGCGGCGGCAGGCCUAACACAUGCAAGUCGAGCGGAUGAGAAGAGCUUGCUCUUCGAUUCAGCGGCGGACGGGUGAGUAAUGCCUAGGAAUCUGCCUGGUAGUGGGGGGCAACGUUUCGAAAGGAACGCUAAUACCGCACACGUCCUACGGGAGAAAGCAGGGGUCCUUCGGGCCUUGCGCUAUCAGAUGAGCCUAGGUCGGAUUAGCUAGUUGGUGAGGUAAUGGCUCACCAAGGCGACGAUCCGUAACUGGUCUGAGAGGAUGAUCAGUCACACUGGAACUGAGACACGGUCCAGACUCCUACGGGAGGCAGCAGUGGGGAAUAUUGGACAAUGGGCGAAAGCCUGAUCCAGCCAUGCCGCGUGUGUGAAGAAGGUCUUCGGAUUGUAAAGCACUUUAAGGUGGGAGGAAGGGUUGUAGAUUAAUACUCUGCAAUUUUGACGUUACCGCCAGAAUAAGCACCGGCUAACUCUGAGCCAGCAGCCGCGGUAAUACAGAGGGUGCAAGCGUUAAUCGGAAUUACUGGGCGUAAAGCGCGCGUAGGUGGUUUGUUAAGUUGGAUGUGAAAUCCCCGGGCUCAACCUGGGAACUGCAUCCAAAACUGGCAAGCUAGAGUAUGGUAGAGGGUAGUGGAAUUUCCUGUGUACGGUGAAAUGCGUAAUAUAGGAAGGAACACCAGUGGCGAAGGCGACUACCUGACUGAUACUGACACUGAGUGCAAAGCGUGGGGACAACAGGAUUAAUACCCCUGUAAUCCACCCGUAAACGAUUGUCCAACUACCGUUGGGGGACCUUGAAG